rnacentral:misc_RNA from 1 species
CUGGCAAAGAAUGAGCAUCUG